GUAAUUUUAUCAUGUAGUUAUAGUUAAUAUUAAAUCCCCAAACCUACUUAGGUCUACUCUGUAUUUGUGUUUUCAAAUAAUUUUUUUAGCUUCCAAAUAGAAGCGUUGUAUUCUUUUCUGAAUUAGAAAACAUUGUUCGACUCAAUUGCUAAAGAGUUAGACAAUCAUUUUGCAUAUGUUUAUUAUGUCUUACAUUGUUUGCAUUGUUACCUAGAUUCUCUUUCAUCUUUCAAUGUCAGUUUUUAUUGGUUUAUUAUAUGUUGUUUAUUUUCUUUUUAGGAAGCCAUCAUUCUUCAGAGGGCAAUGAAGGCACAGAAAUGGAAGUACCAGCAGAAGAUUCUACUCAACAUGUCCCUUCAGAAACAAGUGAGGACCCUGAAGUUGAGGUGACUAUUGAAGAUGAUGAUUAUUCUCCACCGUCUAAGAGACCAAAGGCCAAUGAGCUACCGCAGCCACCAGUCCCGGAACCCGCCAACGCUGGGAAGCGGAAAGUGAGGGAGUUCAACUUCGAGAAAUGGAAUGCUCGCAUCACUGAUCUACGUAAACAAGUUGAAGAAUUGUUUGAAAGGAA
rnacentral:sRNA from 1 species